GACGAACGCUGGCGGCGUGCUUAACACAUGCAAGUCGAACGGAAAGGCCCUGCUUUUGUGGGGUGCUCGAGUGGCGAACGGGUGAGUAACACGUGAGUAACCUGUCCCUGACUUUGGGAUAACUUCAGGAAACUGGGGCUAAUACCGGAUAGGAGCUCCUGCUGCAUGGUGGGGGUUGGAAAGUUUCGGCUGUUGGGGAUGGACUCGCGGCUUAUCAGCUUGUUGGUGGGGUAGUGGCUUACCAAGGUUUUGACGGGUAGCCGGCCUGGGAGGGUGACCGGCCACAUUGGGCCUGCGAUACGGCCCAGACUCGUACGGGAGGCAGCGGUGGAGAAUAUUGCACAAUGGGCGGAAGCCUGAUGCAGCAACGCCGCGUGCGGGAUGACGGCCUUCGGGUUGUAAACCGCUUUCGCCUGUGACGAAGCGUGAGUGACGGUAAUGGGUAAAGAAGCACCGGCUAACUACGUG
rnacentral:rRNA from 1 species